CUAUAAAGCAUUUAAAGACCUUAAAACCCUUUUCUUCUAGCCAUGAAAUAAUUCAGGCUUAAUUCGGAGCAGAAAGAGCUGCACUGGUUAGCAGGUGUGAAGAUGUACCAAGGAUGAAAGCUCCAGCAGACAAAGCAACAGAAGUUUUAAAAGAUAGACACUUUUACCAGCUUUCAAGACUCACAAGAGGAAAAAGAACACCCCAUGGAUACAUUAACCAUUAGCACCUAACCCUGGUACAAGUAAAAUUUCAGCAAACAAGGAAAAAAAUCAGGCUCUCUUGGCCUCCCCACUGCCUCUGUCGGACAGAUGCGGCUGAGCUCCACGCCGUGUGCAUGCCAGAUUCCUCCAGCCGCCCCAAACCACAAUGAGGGAGGGACUGAAACUUCUCCAGAGCGUGCGCUAAGGCACUACUCCUCUGAUGACCUUCCUUAAUUAGUUGCUCCUGGAAUUUUUUAUUUUUUUUUUUAAACAAGCCAGUGGAAUCAAUGUUGUUCACGUAUCUGGAUUAAAGAACACUUCACUUCUGGGAAAUAGAAGUUUUACGCUCUGGUUAGGCAAGAAAAAAAGGAUGAGUUGGAUAUUGGAGAGAACUUGGGCAAUUAAUCACAGCCUCAGUUUACUACAGGUCACAGAAUAUUCAGUGAUUUUAACAAACCUCCCCUCACUCUAGCCUUCCUAAGCAAAGGCUGUUUUUUUCCUAUGUGAUAAAAACAUAUUUUCCAAUACACUGAGGUUCUUGUAAGAAUUUAGGCAUUUUCUAUACCUUCAGAAGUUCUUUUAGUAAAUCAUACAGGCAGAAAAUCAGUCAAUACAAUAAGACUGAACAUGUUCCAACCCAGAGGCAAGAAUAGCCAUUCAAAAGCACAAGUCACUUCAGACAUCAUCGCAACCAUCUGAAAUGUUGGCACAGUUAGUGGAGGAAGAAGUCACCAGACACCAAGCUGCAUGCUGUAAAUCAGCAAGUGAGGUAGUUCAGAGAAGGGAACUGAACACAGGGUCUGUUACAGCAUGAACCUCUUUAGUUGGAGUAGCAGGCAUAUAGACUUAGAUGGCUACUGACCAAUUCAGACAUUUCUGAUAGGCAUAUUGCCAUACAAGCUGGGAACUGUGCCUUCAAAGAGUCUCUUAAAGACUUUUCUCACAUGGGAAGGUGAUAAUCCUGGAGUCUUGUGUACACUGCUAGCAUGAAAAUAACUAGUAAGGGCUACAAAGAGAUUUUGACUUCGCACUAAGCAGUUCUGGAGCAAGAAGGCAAUAUAAGAAAAGGUAUAGCUCUGAAGCAUUAGUGUGAAAUGGACUCUGAUGAACAAAAAGAAGCAAAGCCUUCAAAAAUAAAUUUGUUAUUUACAAUCACAUUUUUAUAAUGUGGUCAUUCACAGGUGAAGUCCAGGUCCUAAAGAUAAUGAAUGGGAAGUAUUCUUUCCACGGCCACACCAUUCAGUUACAAGGAGUUCAUCAAUGAUUAUUCAUGCAUAAGGAAUCCCAAAUAUACAUUUAUACAUAACGUGGAUAAGUCAUGGCAUGAUGCAUUCAACACAGCUGAGUCAACAUAUUCAACAGCUUAAACUAUGCAUUGGGAAAGUUCUUGUUCGUUAAUGACUAACAGUAAUCAGUCAUAAUAAGCAGAACUGGGAGGGGAGGAAGGAUGACACUCCACUGCCUUGUCUAUUUUUUUAGAACAAAGGUUUUCUGAGGUCACACAGUCUACACGACAUUAUUUUAGCCCCAGGUAAAGGAUUUCUUGAUUUAUUUUUUUUAAAUCAUAGCUAUAAUAAUCCACACCCAAGAAUUCAGAAAGUCUUGCUCUCAUACCUAUCACUUAAAAAGAAUAUCCUACUAACUGCAAACAGAAAGACCUAAAUCAUCACAGCAUCAUGGUACUAUUAAGUAAUAUUUUAAUAAACCACCAUGAACCUUUCCAUGGAACAGCUCCACAGAAGCAAAAUUGCACACAGACAAAGAUACCUGGUGGACAACUUGGUAGAUUUUAUUCAUCGUGUUAAUUUCCCCAAAUACAUAAGUUGUAAUAAUUAUUUACUGGAGAACGAAGGAUAUACUUUGAAGACUCUAAUUUUUGGUAGAAAUGUAGCUCUUCACAUCCUAAUCAUAAAUCAAGCAAUACGUUUUGUUCAAAUACAGGUUGAUAUGGAAAAAGACAUUUUGAGACAAUGCAGAAAUAUAAGUAGUAAUAAGUAAGGUAAGUAACAAGCAAUAAUAGUAAGUUGAAAGUUUUACUUGUUAAGACCAUGCAACAUCUUGAGCUGUUCCACAUGUGUACACUUAAGUUCUUUGAAGCCUUGUUCAAUUCUACAAACUGAAUUAUACUUCAGCAGUUUGGUAAGAUUUCUGUUUCAAGAGGACUGUUUUCAGUCCAAGCUGCAUUGCAAAAUAUCCAGUCAAACCAUUAAAUGAUGUGUCUGUGCUACCCAGAGAAGAAUCACACUGUUUAACCAGUGGUAUUAGUAACAUACAAUGUUAAAUUUUCAGCUGAUUGUCAGAAAAGCAAUUAAGGCUGUGUUUGACUUAUCAUGCCUAAAUAAUAUUAAAUGACUACAAAUGAA